rnacentral:rRNA from 1 species
AAUACAUGCAAGUCGAGCGGACAGAAGGGAGCUUGCUCCCGGACGUUAGCGGCGGACGGGUGAGUAACACGUAGGUAACCUGCCCCUUAGACUGGGAUAACUCCGGGAAACCGGAGCUAAUACGGGAUAAUAAAGAGAAUCACCUGAUUCUCUUUUGAAAGACGGUUUCGGCUGUCACUAAGGGAUGGGCCUGCGGCGCAUUAGCUAGUUGGUAAGGUAACGGCUUACCAAGGCGACGAUGCGUAGCCGACCUGAGAGGGUGAUCGGCCACACUGGGACUGAGACACGGCCCAGACUCCUACGGGAGGCAGCAGUAGGGAAUCUUCCGCAAUGGACGAAAGUCUGACGGAGCAACGCCGCGUGAGUGAGGAAGGCCUUCGGGUCGUAAAGCUCUGUUGUGAGGGAAGAACAAGUACCGGGGUAACUACCGGUACCUUGACGGUACCUCACCAGAAAGCCACGGCUAACUACGUGCCAGCAGCCGCGGUAAUACGUAGGUGGCAAGCGUUGUCCGGAAUUAUUGGGCGUAAAGCGCGCGCAGGCGGCUUCUUAAGUCUGAUGUGAAAUCUCGGGGCUCAACCCCGAGCGGCCAUUGGAAACUGGGAAGCUUGAGUGCAGAAGAGGAGAGUGGAAUUCCACGUGUAGCGGUGAAAUGCGUAGAUAUGUGGAGGAACACCAGUGGCGAAGGCGACUCUUCUGGUNUGUAACUGACGCUGAGGCGCGAAA